GAGGAAAGUCCGGGCUUUAUAGGGCAGGAUGCCGGAUAACAUCCGGUGGAGGCGACUCCAAGGAAAGUGCAACAGAAAACAACCGCCGAAAGGUAAGGGUGAAAAGGUGGUGUAAGAGACUACCGCUCAUAUGGUAACAUAUGGGGACAGUGUAAACCCCAUCCAAAGCAAGACCGAAGCGAAUAGGGCUGCCCGUCCGAUAUUCAGGUAGGUCGCUAGA
rnacentral:RNase_P_RNA from 1 species